rnacentral:misc_RNA from 1 species
CGUAAAGGUGCAUGAGUGGUGUUUGGUUUGUCAGUGUGGUUGGCUGCGGCGUUUGCAACAACUUCCAUGCUUUCAGACCUCUUCAGUUGUGCGGCAAGGCUUGUAUCGCCUUGCUGUAUUGUGGGUUUUCUGUGUUGAAUACCUAAUCAAUGGUAUCGGUUGGAUUGAUCAAUGUUUCAUUUCGUCUGUCGUCGCRUUCGCGGCGUGAGACGAACCUCGAUGCGGUCUCUUUGGCCCACCUCGUCGAAGCACAUGCUUUGACGUUGUGGCACAUUGAGCAUUGCUUGGUCUCUUGUAUACGGAACAUAUAGUGGGCAUGGAUCUAACGAUUCUUGUUUGCCCUCAUGUUAGCGUAACGCUUCUCUUACACGACUUGCUCCACGUUUUAGCUCGUACGGACGUGGUGCUAUGUCGAAGAGGAAUGCUACCUGGUUGAUCCUGCCAGUAGUCAUAUGCUUGUCUCAAAGAUUAAGCCAUGCAAGAUGUAAGU